GACGAACGCUGGCGGCGUGCUUAACACAUGCAAGUCGAACGGAAAGGCCCUGCUUUUGUGGGGUGCUCGAGUGGCGAACGGGUGAGUAACACGUGAGUAACCUGCCCUUGACUUUGGGAUAACUUCAGGAAACUGGGGCUAAUACCGGAUAGGAGCUCCUGCUGCAUGGUGGGGGUUGGAAAGUUUCGGCGGUUGGGGAUGGACUCGCGGCUUAUCAGCUUGUUGGUGGGGUAGUGGCUUACCAAGGCUUUGACGGGUAGCCGGCCUGAGAGGGUGACCGGCCACAUUGGGACUGAGAUACGGCCCAGACUCCUACGGGAGGCAGCAGUGGGGAAUAUUGCACAAUGGGCGGAAGCCUGAUGCAGCAACGCCGCGUGCGGGAUGACGGCCUUCGGGUUGUAAACCGCUUUCGCCUGUGACGAAGCGUGAGUGACGGUAAUGGGUAAAGAAGCACCGGCUAACUACGUGCCAGCAGCCGCGGUGAUACGUAGGGUGCGAGCGUUGUCCGGAUUUAUUGGGCGUAAAGGGCUCGUAGGUGGUUGAUCGCGUCGGAAGUGUAAUCUUGGGGCUUAACCCUGAGCGUGCUUUCGAUACGGGUUGACUUGAGGAAGGUAGGGGAGAAUGGAAUUCCUGGUGGAGCGGUGGAAUGCGCAGAUAUCAGGAGGAACACCAGUGGCGAAGGCGGUUCUCUGGGCCUUUCCUGACGCUGAGGAGCGAAAGCGUGGGGAGCGAACAGGCUUAGAUACCCUGGUAGUCCACGCUGUAAACGGUGGGUACUAGGUGUGGGGUCCAUUCCACGGGUUCCGUGCCGUAGCUAACGCUUUAAGUACCCCGCCUGGGGAGUACGGCCGCAAGGCUAAAACUCAAAGGAAUUGACGGGGCCCCGCACAAGCGGCGGAGCAUGCGGAUUAAUUCGAUGCAACGCGUAGAACCUUACCUGGGUUUGACAUGGAUCGGGAGUGCUCAGAGAUGGGUGUGCCUCUUUUGGGGUCGGUUCACAGGUGGUGCAUGCCUGUCGUCAGCUCGUGUCGUGAGAUGUUGGGUUAAGUCCCGCAACGAGCGCAACCCUUGUUCACUGUUGCCAGCACGUUAUGGUGGGGACUCAGUGGAGACCGCCGGGGUCAACUCGGAGGAAGGUGGGGAUGACGUCAAGUCCUCAUGCCCCUUAUGUCCAGGGCUUCACGCAUGCUACAAUGGCUGGUACAGAGAGUGGCGAGCCUGUGAGGGUGAGCGAAUCUCGGAAAGCCGGUCUCAGUUCGGAUUGGAGUCUGCAACUCGACCUCAUGAAGUCGGAGUCGCUAGUAAUCGCAGAUCAGCAACGCUGCGGUGAAUACGUUCCCGGGG
rnacentral:rRNA from 1 species